rnacentral:tRNA from 1 species
GGGAGUGUGGCUUAGUAGAUAGUGCACUGUCCUGGGAGUCAGAAGGACCUGGGUUCUAAUCCCAGCUCUACUG